UACAUAGGUCCCGAGCGUUAUCCGGAUUUACUGGGCGUAAAGUGUCCGUAGCCUGAUAUGUAAGUCUGUUUUCAAAUAUUGUGGCUUAACCAUAAAGAGGGAAUAGAUACUGCAUAUCUUGAAGUUGUUGGGGGUUAGUGGAAUUUCCGGUGGAGCGGUGAAAUGCGUUGAUAUCGGAAAGAACGCCGAAAGCGAAAGCAGCUAACUACAAUAAACUUGACGGUGAGGGACGAAAGCUUGGGGAGCAAAC
rnacentral:rRNA from 1 species